CAGCCUGCCAGUGACAAAUGUUCAACGGCCGCGGUAUCCUAACCGUGCGAAGGUAGCGUAAUCACUUGUUCUUUAAAUGUGGACUAGUAUGAACGGCACCACGAGGGUUAUACUGUCUCCUUUCUCCAAUCAGUGAAACUAAUCUCCCCGUGAAGAAGCGGGGAUAAAAAUAUAAGACGAGAAGACCCUAUGGAGCUUAAAAGUUUACUUCAAACGCUAACCCCUACAAAGUCAUAGACUACCACAAGAAGCCACGCGCCAUGAAAACAACUUUUAGGUUGGGGUGACCAUGGAGCACAAAACAACCUCCACGCUGAACAGGCCUCCAAGCCUCGAGCCAAGGGCCACAACCCGCCGCACUAAAAAAUUAACAUCCAUUGAUCCAAUGAAUUUUGAUCAACGAACCAAGUUACCCUAGGGAUAACAGCGCAAUCUACUUCAAGAGUUCCUAUCGACAAGUGGGUUUACGACCUCGAUGUUGGAUCAGGGUGUCCCAGUGGUGCAGCCGCUACUAAUGGUUCGUUUGUUCAACGUUAAAACCCUACGUGAUC
rnacentral:rRNA from 1 species